rnacentral:rRNA from 1 species
ACUUAUAGCUGACUGACGGAUGACAUUAGAGAAUGAGGCGAAGGGCGGCCCAACCGCCGCCCGGAGCCGACGCUCUCCACCCUGCCUUUUGAAUACCUCACCUCCUCCCCGGCCUCCGCGCCGGGCAGGCUUACUCGAAAAAACCUUGCAGUUUAUAGUCUAUUCAGUCAUUACAAACAAAAUUACAACUUUCAACAAUGGAUCUCUUGGCUCUGGCAUCGAUGAAGAACGCAGCGAAAUGCGAUAAGUAGUGUGAAUUGCAGAAUUCAGCGAAUCAUCGAAUCUUUGAACGCACAUUGCGCCCUUCGGUUAUUCCUUAGGGCAUGCCUGUUCGAGCGUCAUUUCAACCUUCAAGCCUGGCUUGGUGUUGGGCGCUGUCCCGCCCCCGCGCGCGGACUCGCCUCGAAUGAAUUGGCAGUCGCACCCUCCGAGCCGCGAGCGCAGCACAAGUCGCGCCCGCCGGCCCCGCUGGGACGGACGCUCCACAAGACCCCCCCAUCGUCUUGACCUCGGAUCAGGUAGGGAUACCCGCUGAACUUAAGCAUAUCAAAAGCGGGAGAGAA